GCCUCAUCGCGCCUGGGCCGGCAGAGCCACACCCCGCGUCUUGCGUCACUGAGUCGCGUCACGGCUAUUGGCUUGUUCCUAUUGUGGCGUCAUUAGAGCCCGGCCUCCGGCUGGGGCCACCCAGGCAACCGAUAUACACAGAGAACCACGUGGAGGAAAAGCACGCGAGUUUGGAGGGGGUGGAGCAGGAACAGAGGUGGACUGGAAUGUCACACGACGGGGCAGCUGGAAGGGCACCACUGAGUUCAGUACUUCAAAAUUGCCGUGCUCUACCUCUCCCCAGUGCACAGAAACACUCUCCACACCAAGCUGCUGCUGCUGGGGGAUGGAGGGAUGGCGUCAGCGAUUCAAGACUGUUUUUCCUACCUGUUCAGCACUUCUUUCAGCGAUAUGAAGUUAAAUCCAGAUGUCGUCAUCAUCCACUUGUGCAAACAAGAGCCCAAGGAUCAUCCUAGAUUCCUUCUCACUUCCUCUCAAUCCAUCCCUGAAACAGCCAAACCACCAAGCAGCAAGAGGGAUCUUAUAAAAAUAUGACCAGAUCACAUCCUUCAACACUUCCCUGUUACCCUUACAAUAAAAUUCAAACUCUUCACCAUGACCUCCAAGGCUCCUAUUGAAUCCGGCUCUUGUCUGCCUCUUCAGUAACAUCAUGGACCACUCCUUACCAUUCCCUCCAUCUGGCUGUGCUUCCUGCAUCUCUUCCAAUGGCUGGCUUGUUCUCACCUUUGAAGUCUCAGCUCAAAGGACACUCCCUUGGGCUCUCCCUCAUCACCCUAACUAAUAGGUCACUUAAUAUUGUUAUUAUUUUUUAGAGACAAAGUCUCACUAUGUCACCCAGGCUUGCCUCAAACUCCUGGGCUCAAGCAAUUCUCCCACCUUGGCCUCUCAAAGUUCUAGGAUUACAGGCGUGAGCCACUAUGCCUGGCUAUGUCACUUAUUAUUCUUUAUUAUCUUCUAUAUAUAAAUGAUCCCAAUCCAUAAUUAUUUGAUUUAUUGAUUGGUUUACUUGCUUAAUAUCCAACUCCCAUACUAGAAUAUAAAUGUUAUAGAACAAGAGAUUGUCUGUACCAUCCACUGUUCUAGUCUCAUUACCCCACAUAAGGCCUGGCAUGGAGUGUGCACCUAAUAAAUGUUUGAAUAAAUAUUGACUGGAUCAGGGA
rnacentral:lncRNA from 1 species